UACAGAGGGGGGCGAGCGUUAUUCGGAAUUAUUGGGCGUAAAGGGCGCGUAGGCGGCUUUGCAAGUGACGGGUGAAAUCCCUCGGCUUAACCGAGGAACUGCCUGUCAGACUGUAAGGCUUGAGACCGGGGAGAGGUGAGUGGAAUUCCCCAGUGUAGCGGUGAAAAUGCGUAGAUAUUUGGGAGGAACACCAGUGGCGAAGGCGGCUCACUGGACCGGUACUGACGCUGAGGCGCGAAAAGCGUGGGGGAGCAAACAGGG
rnacentral:rRNA from 1 species